rnacentral:rRNA from 1 species
GUGCCAGCCGCCGCGGUAAUUCCAGCUCCAAUAGCGUAUAUUAAAGUUGUUGUGGUUAAAAAGCUCGUGGUUGAACCUUGGGCCUGGCUGGCCGGUCCGCCUCACCGCGUACACUGGUCCGGCCGGGCCUUUCCCUCUGUGGAACCCCAUACCCUUCACUGGGCGUGGCGGGGAAACAGGACAUUUACUUUGAAAAAAUUAGAGUGCUCCAGGCAGGCCUAUGCUCGAAUACAUUAGCAUGGAAUAAUAAAAUAGGACGCGCGGUUCUAUUUUGUUGGUUUAUAGGACCGCCGUAAUGAUUAAUAGGGACAGUCGGGGGCAUCAGUAUUCAACUGUCAGAGGUGAAAUUCUUGGAUCAGUUGAAGACUAACUACUGCGAAAGCAUUUGCCAAGGAUGUUUUCAUUAAUCAGGAACGAAAGUUAGGGGAUCGAAGACGAUCAGAUACCGUCGUAGUCUUAACCAUAAACUAUGCCGACUAGGGAUCGGACGGUGUUAUUCAUGACCCGUUCGGCACCUUACGAGAAAUCAAAGUGCUUGGGCUCCACGGGGAGUAAAGGUCGCAAGGCUGAAACUUAAAGAAAUUGACGGAAGGGCACCACCAGGGGUGGAGCCUGCGGCUUAAUUUGACUCAACACGGGGAAACUCACCAGGUCCAGACACAAUAAGGAUUGACAGAUUGAGAGCUCCUUCUUGAUUUUGUGGGUGGUGAUGCAUGGUCGUUCUUAGUUGGUGGGGUGACUUGUCUGCUUAAUUGCGAUAACGAACGAGACCUUAACCUGCUAAAUAGCCCGCAUUGCUCCGGGCAGUGCGCUGGGCUUCCUUA